AACAAAAUACAUACAAAGAGAAAGAAAACUUUUCUUUUUGAAAAUAAUUGAGUUUAUUUAAUUGAGUACUUAUGGUGGGUAGUUGUUAAACUUAUAUGAAGAGAGAGUAUUGGGAAAUCAUAAUUUUUUUUUACAUAAUUUGCUAUAAGGGGUAUUAGUGAAAAAUUUAAAUAAAGAUCAAAAGAGUUAAAAUAGCAAAUGCAUAACCAUGAUGUUCAUGCUGGCUUCUUUGUACUUGCUAAUAAAUUUAGUCAAUCUCCUCUCCUUUCUAUGAUCACAUCAUCUCUUCUCUCCCUAACUUAUGCUACAUAAUUUGUGCCUCUAAUUAUAUUAUUAGCAGCAUAGAUCCCCAUGAAUAUGAUAUUGAUACCUAAUCCUUCCCUUCAACAAAAGAAGAAUGAUAUUUAAUCCUUUCUGGCAACGUGGGACACCCCUGUCUAUCCUUAUCCCGAAGUAGCUAUCGCAGCCAAUUGUUUCCCCUCAUUCCAUCCCCUGUUUUGCAGCAAAACCUGGGGUGCCACCGAUCUAUAUGAACAAGCUCGCGCAGCUCACGGCUUCAAUGUGAAGUCAUCUGGUUCUGGAGUGGUGUUUUUACUCGCAUAUGCAUAGGGAGAGGGAUCGGAGACGCGAUGACAGACCGAGGAUCGAAGUCGUGCGAUCCCGCGAUCAAGGGUCCGGGAGGUUAUUGCUCUUCUUCUUCCGGUUCGGAGAGAUUGAGGCGGCUCUUCUCGGGCGGAGCUGGCGACGGCUCGAUGGCUCUCAAAGAUGGCAUUGGCAAGGGCAACGAGAGAUGGUGGAGGCAAGCCGAAGAGUCUCUCAGAACCGUCAUUUACUUGAGCUGCUGGGGUCCUAACUGAUAACCGGGGCGUGCGUCUUCGCGCAAGCUGAGAUGGAGUUGGAGCGCUGCCUUAGGCCCCUCGGUUACGACCGUCGAGCGCGGCGAGCCGUUUGGGCGAGGAGGUUGAGUCGAUGCUGCCCUGAAAGACGUCAGCUUUUGGAUCAUGUCCUGGAGAUCGAACCUCGGCUUUGAGGUUGCUUAAUUCACAGAUAGAGUUGUCAAUGAGUAGGAUCGUCCGCAGGUUUUGCCAUUUUGCAAGUGUAGUGUUGUGUUGAAAUAAAGCUCAAAAUGUUCAUAUGACGAAAUCUAGGACGAAUAGUUCGAGGUCUAGCUGGUUUCUCGCUACUUUUUGUGACGACGAUGCCAUAUUUGUCUAUCAAAAAAGGAAAAAAAUAAUAAUAUCAAUUUCUCGUUAA